rnacentral:lncRNA from 1 species
GAAUGAUACAAACUUUGAAGCCAUUGUCUUGAAAUAGAAUUAGUUAGAUAAAGAAUGCUUCACAUUUCAUUGGAAAACCUAAUCGAAACGGAGAAAUCCUGGUGAGUUUCAAUGUUGUGAGUUAACCCUUAGAUGCAUAUUGCUUUUCGGCAAUACACUUUCUACUUUCUAUUAUACCAUUAAGACUCACGCUAGCGCAAAUAUUAAUUUGCUGCAUGAUGAAUCCGUUCGACAACGUACUACUUUAUAAUAGGCUACAAACUUUUGUUGGUAGAUGGCGGCCAUGUCAGAGUAUUAUUGACAUUUCUCAGUCUGCAGACAACUUUUGAGUAAUGUGCUUAUAUCAGUUUUUCUAUUGACUAUAGUUUGGGUCAGAGACGUGUUUCGUUUCAAAAAAAUUGCGUUUUUACGUCAGAAAGUAUGGAAGGGAAAAAGAUUCUAACAGAAAAAGAUUUGGAACAGUAUUUGGGAAAUUUUACCGGUUUAAGUGACGACGACAUUGAUUUUAGCAAUACAGAUAGCGAUGGGGACGGUUUUUUGUCCGAAAGUGAGGAUAAAGUAGAAGUGGAACACGCUGAAAAAAGUGCUCGAGGAAUUGGUGUUCUAGAAGAUUCAGAGGACGUAGAAGAUAACUUGCCUAUCUCUUCUUUCUGUUCGUUGAUACGAAGUAAGGACCCCGUAAAAAAGAUAUACUUUGGAAAUCUAAGUCUUUAAUCUUGAAUGAUGAUCAGCUGAGGUUCCAUGGAGACAACAAAGUUUCAGAAGAAAUUUCAGCCUUGGAACGGUCGUUAUAGUUAUUCAAUUACUUUUUGUCGAGUGAGUUGGUAAAAAAAAUUGUUGAAGAAUUCAAUUUGUAUGCUGUUCAGAUCGAAAUUGAUAGAACCAUUCUCCUUUACCAAAAAUGAGAUAAAGCGUUUUUUGGUAUAAUUAUAUAUACUUCAUUAGUAAACAUGCCCAACACGAGGCCAUUUUGAAGCGAUUAACUAAGAUUUGCACCAGUAGCUGAUGUAAUGUCAAUCAACAAAUUCGAGAUGAUAAAAAGGUUUCUACGCUUCAACAAUAACUACUCUUUCAUACCCUUGAUCAUCCAGCACCUGAUAGGCUUCACAAAAUUAGGCCAAUUGUUGAUUGGUUAAACAACAGAUUUCUGCUGUUACCUUGGAGCAAAAUCUCAGUAUUGACAAGCAUUAUAUGAAACAAUAUAUGCCAAUGAAGCUCCACCAAUGGGGAUUCAAAUUGUUUGUUAUGUCAAGUAUUUCAGGAUUUGCCUAUAAAUUCGAAAUAUAUGCUGCCCAAGAACAAAAAGAAGUGCCAGUUGAUGAGCGUGACCUUGGAGUAACAUCUAGUGUCGUUUUACAGCCCACAGAAUAAUCUAUGAAAGAUGCUAGUCGUGGUACAAGUCAUGAAUUUGUUGCAAUAAUUGAUAGUGUGGAUGUUUCAUCUGUUAUUUGGAAGGACAAUAAAUAUGUGACAUUAGUAUCCUCAUUUGCUGGAAAAAAUCCAAUUUUGAAAGUGAGAAGAUAUGAUAGAAAGGGAAAAAAGUAAUAGAGGUUGAUUGUCCAUAUAUUAUCACCGAAUACAACAAACAUAUGGGAGGCGUGGAUCUGUUGGAUAGCUUUAUGGAAAGAUCCACCUACUACCUUUUAAACUUGACCUUAGUGAAUUCUUGGUUACUUUACAAGCGAGUUCAUUCUAAGAAGCAACCUGGAUGCAAAUUAUUAAAUCAAGUCCAAUUUCGUUCAGAAGUAACUUGUGCCAUAUAAGAUCAGCUACCACUGAACGCGAUCGCUCUGGUAAUAGUUUAGAGCAAGAAAUUGAAAAUAAGAGAAAGAGAGGAGUGAUGAAGCAUAUUCCGCCAGCGCAGCGGAAGUUCGCGCUGACCAAACUGGGCAUUGAUAAUAAGAAAAUGAGAUGAAAGCUAUCCAACUGCAGAGGAUUUACCCAUAGCAAGUGUAAAAAUUGCAGUGUAGAACUAUGAAUCAAUAAACAUAAUAAUUGUUUCAAAAAAUUUCACAUUUACAUUUUUAUCAUAAUAUGCACGUAAUGCGAAAUAUUGCCAUUUGGAUACAAACCUUUUUUCAAAUAAAAAAAUUGUUCAGAAUGGAA